AACAUACGGGAGCUCGCCACUUUCUCCUCCUCCCUCCGCGUUCGUUGGACAUUCCGCGAGACCGAAAGACCUCACAUUACGCAAGCCGUUUGUCAUCAACCGCAUUACACCGUCUCCCUUAUUAUUAUAUGAA
ensembl:ncRNA C11E4.9 ncRNA